GUUAAGAUAAAGCUAUUUAUUUCAGAGCUUAUCACACUUUUCCACACACUUUUCUUUCCUGACGGUUAACGGAACAAGAAUUUUAAACGUAACCUUGACACUGACAGUACAAUAUUGACAGUGAUAACAGAAAAAAGUUUCCAUGUACUUUAUAUAAUUUACAUGAAAAUAGGUGUUUUUACGUAAAAACGAUCCCGAAAUUAACAAAUUCUUAUUUCUAUUGUUGAUAUACAAGGUUUUAAUGUAUUUAAAUAACAGUUUUUGCUACUUAAUAAUUUCACAUUUUAAGGUGCGGCUACACCUUUCGUUUAUCGAUAAGCAUUAUCAAAGACAAUUUGACGAUACUCUGCCCUACGGAUACUUAAAGCUGUCAUUAACUAAUGAAAACUUAAAUUUCGUCUCUGGGAUGUAUCGUUCAUUAACAGAUUUAAUGAUAAUUAGUUAAGGACUCGUUAGGACUAAUUUAAGUAUCCAUUAUGAGUGUGGCAGUAAG
rnacentral:lncRNA from 1 species